CCCCUCUUAGGAUUGUACCUGGAGAGUUUCCGGUACUCUACCAUUCUUGGCUAUGGGAAGGAGAGUCAAGCAGAGGCAUACUCAUUCCAUUCCUAGCAUGGCCAGUGGCUAGUGAGUGGAAGGCAAUCUGCUACAAGU
rnacentral:snoRNA from 2 species